rnacentral:tRNA from 1 species
GCCGUUGUAGCUCAGUGGUAGAGCGUUUGUCUUGUAAACAAAAGGUAAACAAAAGGUCCCUGGUUCAAUCCCAGGCUGCGGCA